GAUGAACGCUGGCGGCGUGCCUAAUACAUGCAAGUCGAGCGAACGGACGAGAAGCUUGCUUCUCUGAUGUUAGCGGCGGACGGGUGAGUAACACGUGGAUAACCUACCUAUAAGACUGGGAUAACUUCGGGAAACCGGAGCUAAUACCGGAUGAUAUUUUGAACCGCAUGGUUCAAAAGUGAAAGACGGUCUUGCUGUCACUUAUAGAUGGAUCCGAGCUGCAUUAGCUAGUUGGUAAGGUAACGGCUUACCAAGGCAACGAUGCAUAGCCGACCUGAGAGGGUGAUCGGCCACACUGGAACUGAGACACGGUCCAGACUCCUACGGGAGGCAGCAGUAGGGAAUCUUCCGCAGUGGUCGAAAGCCUGACGGAGCAGCGCCGCGUGAGUGAUGAAGGUCUUCGGAUCGUAAAACUCUGUUAUUAGUGAAGAACAUCUGUGUAAGUAACUGUGCACAUCUUGACGGUACCUAAUCAGAAAGCCACGGCUAACUACGUG
rnacentral:rRNA from 1 species